rnacentral:rRNA from 1 species
GUGAGGAAUAUUGGACAAUGGGCGCAAGCCUGAUCCAGCCAUGCCGCGUGCAGGAUGACGGUCCUAUGGAUUGUAAACUGCUUUUGUACAGGAAGAAACACUCCCUCGUGAGGGAGCUUGACGGUACUGUAAGAAUAAGGAUCGGCUAACUCCGUGCCAGCAGCCGCGGUAAUACGGAGGAUCCAAGCGUUAUCCGGAAUCAUUGGGUUUAAAGGGUCCGUAGGCGGUCUUAUAAGUCAGUGGUGAAAUCUCCCCGCUCAACGGGGAAACGGCCAUUGAUACUGUAAGACUUGAAUUAUUAGGAAGUAACUAGAAUAUGUAGUGUAGCGGUGAAAUGCUUAGAGAUUACAUGGAAUACCAAUUGCGAAGGCAGGUUACUACUAAUGGAUUGACGCUGAUGGACGAAAGCGUGGGUAGCGAACAGGAUUAGAAACCCCAGUAGUCC